AUGGCCCAGGGAGUGGUGAAUAAAAAGGGCCCAGAAAAAGGAGGGGUUGGUGUGGACCUAUAUAAAGGGGGAAUCCCACCCUCCAUCCUAGAACCUGACUUCCUCCACCUCCCAAACCCUAGCAAAAUUUCAGCGGCGACAAGCUGGGGGGAGAGCGUCAAGAAGAGAGAAAACCUCUGGGAAGGAGAAGAAACCAUGGCAGGCAGGCAGGAGAAUUGGAGACCAAGACCAGGGAGAGGAGCCAAUCCAGGAGGAAGAGGUAACUUCUAUGGCAGAUCUGAAAGUUUUGGGAGAGGAUUUAACAGGCAAGAUGAGAGAGAGCUUGAUGGAUAUGGCUGGAGAAACAGAGAGGGGAGCUUCAGAGGGGGAUCAGGGACUAAUAGCAGUGGCUCUGGUGGGGAAGGGACUUCCACGGGGAAUGGCAGAGAUGGAGACAACAAACUUGGAAGGUUUACAUCAGACAGAAGUGGAAAACAGCAAGAGAGAUCUCAAGCUGGGAUGGGUGAGACUGGACAUGGAAGUGGGUUUGCGGCUAAUAAUUCAAAUCUGCAACAGAUGGGGGUACAGGGAGGGCCUAUCCAGAUGGCAGGGGGUUUCUCAAUGAUGAGCAACACCAACUUUCCAUAG
rnacentral:rRNA from 1 species